UACGAGGGGGGCGAGCGUUGUUCGGAAUUAUUGGGCGUAAAGGGCGCGUAGGCGGUUGGAUAAGUCUCGUGUGAAAUCUUCGGGCUCAACUCGAAGUCUGCACGAGAAACUAUCCGGCUAGAGUGUGGGAGAGGUGAGUGGAAUUCCUGGUGUAGCGGUGAAAUGCGUAGAUAUCAGGAGGAACACCUGUGGCGAAAGCGGCUCACUGGACCACAACUGACGCUGAGGCGCGAAAGCUAGGGGAGCAAACAGG
rnacentral:rRNA from 1 species